rnacentral:misc_RNA from 1 species
UUUCCGUAGGUGAACCUGCGGAAGGAUCAUUACUGAGUUUUGAAUGAAGUUGUUCUGGUCUUUCGGGGCAAGUGAACGCUUCUCUCAAUCCAUCUUACACCUGUGCACCACCGCGUGGGUCCCCCUUUGGCUUGUUCGGAGGGGGGCUUACGUUUUCACACAAACUUUGUAUGCAGUGUAGAAUGUAUUUUUUGUUUUUGCGAUCACGCAAUCAAUACAACUUUCAACAACGGAUCUCUUGGCUCUC